ACGCCGCCAUGUUGCGGGUCCCCCGCCAUGCUGCCGCUGCCGCCCGGGCUGCGCCGCCGCCUCCGGGAGGGGCCGGUCCCCACCGCUCCCUCCCCGCUCCCGCCGACCCCCCGACCCCCUUCGCCCCCCUUCGCUUUCGUCCCCCGCCGCCUCCGCCUCGGCCCCCACCACCCGCUCUUGGAGGACGGGGACGUCCACAGGCACCUCUACCUCCAGGGCAUCCUCAGCAGCCUCGCCGAGGCGGCCGAGAGCCCCAGGGUGUCUGAAUUCAGUUGCCACAUCUCUGGGUGCUGCCAGGUCUUUGAUACGCUGGAGGGUUACGAGCACCACUACAACACGCUGCACAGGAACGUCUGCUCCUACUGCAAGCGCUCCUUUCCGUCGGGGCACCUCUUGGAUAUUCACAUCUUGGAGUGGCACGACUCGCUCUUCCAGAUAAUGGCUGAGAAGCAAAACAUGUACAAGUGCUUGGUAGAAGGAUGUGCAGAGAAGUUGAAGAGCAGCAAGGACAGAAAGGAUCACAUGGUCACUGUUCACCUUUAUCCUGCUGACUUUCGGUUUGAUAGGCCGAAGAAAGUAAAAAGUGGCCCCAAGCACGUGAGCUCUCCCACGAAGCAGGGUGCCAGCGUGCCGAUGGACGUGAGCGUGGAGACGUCGGAGCAAUGCCAGGUGGACCUGAUGGAAAUAGGGCCCAGUGAGGACAUGGAGAUCCCUCAGCCUGCGGCCAGCCCCGGUCUCUCGGUGCCAGAGAAACGACUCUAUAAAUCCAGGAUCCCGUCCACCAUUUGCUUUGGACAAGGUGCCACUCGAGGAUUUAAAGGACCAAGGAAGAAAGUCUGAAGGUCAACAACGCAGCGGUUCUGUGCAAGAGGUGAAGGCACCAGCUGCUGCCACCUGCAAACUGUUUUUAAGAACUCCCAGCGAGGAAGGCCCUUGAGACAGCACACAGAGGCGGGGAGGGUUGAACCCCACACCAGUUGCUUGCAGGAAGAGUCUCAGACUGCAGCAGAAUGCUGUGCUGUGGAGGUGAGAGGAGAUCAGCUGCUGGAGCUGAGACUACGCGGGAUUAUUUUUUUGAUUUCUUGCCUUUUAGGAGAAAAAAAUAGAUUCGAGCAAUUCCAAGACAAAAUCUACUGACUGUAUGGAAGCUGGAACCACUGACAAAAAAUAGAAAACAGAAGAAAAAGCACUGGUCCUUAAUUCUGACCUUCUCCACCUCACUGAAGUCGGCUCCCCACUCCCUGGUGCUCGCUCUGGAACCCACGCAAAAGCACCACCCAGGACGCGUGGGCACGGCCCACCCUGCGCACGGCCGCGCCCGCCGGCGGGCAAAGUGCGGGGCAAAGGCCCCGGGCGGCCCCACGGAAAGCAGCCAUGGGGUGGUAUGUCCCUGCCCGGCCCCAACGGGCAGCACCGUGGGGCACGGGGAGUGGGGUGGGGUGUCAGGGGUGGGUGCUGGGGCGGGGGGGGGGGUGUUGGGGUGUCAGGCACCGGCCACCCCAGUUAUGGCCACCGUGGUUUCUCUGCCAUCUCCCUGCCAGCCCGGCAGCCGCGCCGCUCUGCGGCAUCACCGUCCUGCUGGGCGCUGCCCUCCUCCUCUCUGCACCCGCAGGCACCCAGGUGAGCCCCCCCACCCCCCCACCCCACCCCACGAUGAGCAGGCACAUGGGGACGGACCCAUGUGUGAUCCGUGCCACCCCAGCACCCUGCUCUCUCCCUGCAGGCUCCAAGCCACAGUGGGCGGAAGGACCCGGCUGCAGAGCAGGAUUUGGCCGAGGAAAUGUAAGACGCACCCGCAUCUGGCUUGCAAAAACCAACAAAGCAACACCCCAAAUUGUAAAGCGUUUUGGGGUGGGGGGGAAUAAAUUUCCUUCGUUGCUUUGUGUGUGUGUGUGUCCCCAAAAUUAAGGGGGUCCCAGCUCCAUUUUUUUCCCCUAAAUCACCCAAACUCUCCAAGCAUCGAGCCCUGGCUGGCUUCCAUUUGCCAGUGGUGGUGGGGAGCCACAGGUACUGCGGCACCGAUGUCCCCGUCCCACCCAGCCCCUUCAUGGGAUAAGCAGCUAAAUCAGCCCCGUUGCUCCCCGAGAUCGUAAUUACAGCUUCCUGGAGUGGGGGUGUCUCACCAGCGUCCCUGCACCCUGAUAGGGUGGGAUUCCCUUGGGGCAGGGUGGGGGAUAUUUAGUAACCCUGUGACCUUUCCUGGCUGGUUUUGCGCCCCGUUUCCAGCAUCCUGGGCCUACGAGCCGUGGAGCCGCCGGAGGAGGGCGAGAUCUCCGAUGAGGUGGAACCAGGUGUAAAGGUCUUCUCCAGCAGUGCCUGGGCUCGCCAAGCCCAGGCGGGACCAGAGGAGGACCGCGACCACCUCUACCACCCCCAGGACAAUGCCAGGGAGGCCGAUGCCCACAGGCCGCUCCGGACGCUGUCUCUGGAGGUGCAGAGAGGCCCGAAUGAAGAUCGUGACCAUAUCCACCACGGCUGAGCGGAGAUGUGCCCGGGCUGAAAAAUGAGGGGUAGGAGCCAGCCCUGGGGUUUCCCGAGGGGACUCAUCCCUCCCUCCCCGCCCCUGAGCCUCUGCAAUAAACCCAUUCCCCCCUCCACGUCCUGGUGGGCUCUUCAUUGCUGCAAGAAACCUAUUGCUAAGUGCAGAGCCCCCAAAUCUGGGGGAUCCCUCCCCUUCCUCGGGCUCGCCCCGAGACCCCAAGGAGGGUGAGAGUAUGAUGCCGCAGAGUGGGGAGCUCGGCCCAUCACCGUGGCCUCGGUUCAGCCCAGGGGGGGGCUGAGGCCAAGCAAACUCAGCACAUCGGUGUUGCACCCAAGGAGAUGCCACAGGCUGUCUCCUCCCCAGUGGGACACACGGAC